UGGGGAAUUUUGGACAAUGGGCGAAAGCCUGAUCCAGCAAUGCCGCGUGUGUGAAGAAGGCCUUCGGGUUGUAAAGCACUUUUGUCCGGAAAGAAAUCCUUGGCUCUAAUACAGUCGGGGGAUGACGGUACCGGAAGAAUAAGCACCGGCUAACUACGUGCCAGCAGCCGCGGUAAUACGUAGGGUGCAAGCGUUAAUCGGAAUUACUGGGCGUAAAGCGUGCGCAGGCGGUUUGCUAAGACCGAUGUGAAAUCCCCGGGCUCAACCUGGGAACUGCAUUGGUGACUGGCAGGCUAGAGUAUGGCAGAGGGGGGUAGAAUUCCACGUGUAGCAGUGAAAUGCGUAGAGAUGUGGAGGAAUACCGAUGGCGAAGGCAGCCCCCUGGCAAGUACUGACGCUCAUGCACGAAAAGCGUGGGGAGCAAACAGGAUUAAUACCCUGGUAGUCCACGCCCUAAAANGAUGUCAACUAGUUGUUGGGGAUUCAUUUCCUUAGUAACGUAGCUAACGCGUGAAGUUGACCGCCU
rnacentral:rRNA from 1 species